ACGUUUUCACCUCGGGUGACAGGGAGACAGGUGGUGCAUGGUUGUCGUCAGCUCGUGUCGUGAGAUGUUGGGUUAAGUCCCGCAACGAGCGCAACCCCUACGUUUACGUUGCUAACGCGUGAAAGGCGAGCACUCUAGACGAACUGCCGUUGACAAAACGGAGGAAGGUGGGAUGACGUCAAAUCAUCAUGCCCCUUAUGUUCUGGGCUACACACGUGCUACAAUGGCCGGUACAGACGGACGCAAAGCCGCGAGGUGGAGCAAAUCCUAAAAAGCCGGUCUCAGUUCGGAUUGCAGGCUGCAAUUCGCCUGCAUGAAGUCGGAAUCGCUAGUAAUCGCAGGUCAGCAUACUGCGGUGAAUACGUUCCCGGGCCUU
rnacentral:rRNA from 1 species